UGCAUGUCUAAGUACAUGCCGAAACAAGGCGAAACCGCGAAUGGCUCAUUAAAUCAGUUAUGGUUCCUUGGAUCGUACCUCGCUACUUGGAUAACUGUGGCAAUUCUAGAGCUAAUACAUGCAGCAGAGCUCCGACCCUCCGGGGACGAGCGCUUUUAUUAGACCAAAACCGAUCGGACCUCGAGUCCGCAUCAAAAGUGGUGACUCUGAAUAACUUUGGGCUGAUCGCACGGGCCAGUCCCGGCGACGUAUCUUUCAAGUGUCUGCCUUAUCAACUUUCGACGGUAGGUCACGCGCCUACCGUGGUCAUUACGGGUGACGGGGAAUCAGGGUUCGAUUCCGGAGAGGGAGCCUGAGAAACGGCUACCACAUCCAAGGAAGGCAGCAGGCGCGCAAAUUACCCACUCCCGGCACGGGGAGGUAGUGACGAAAAAUAACGAUACGGGACUCUUACGAGACCCCGUAAUCGGAAUGAGCACACUCUAAAGCCUUUAACGAGGAUCCAUUCGAGGGCAAGUCUGGUGCCAGCCGCCGCGGUAAUCCCAGCUCGAAUAGCGUAUAUUAAAGUUGUUGCGGUUAAAAAGCUCGUAGUUGGAUCUCAGUCACGGACGGGCGGUCCGCCUACCACGGCGGCAACUGCCCGAUCCGGACAGCCAGCCGGUUACCCCCGAUGAUCUUCACCGGUUGUCUGGGGCGACUGGCGAGUUUACUUUGAAAAAAUUAGAGUGCUCAAAGCAGGCGAGAAGCCUGGAUAAUGGUGCAUGGAAUAAUGGAAUAGGACCUCGGUUCUAUUUUGUUGGUUUUCGGAGCACGAGGUAAUGAUUAAGAGGGACAGACGGGGGCAUUCGUACUGCGACGCUAGAGGUGAAA
rnacentral:rRNA from 1 species